rnacentral:rRNA from 1 species
UACGAAGGGAGCUAGCGUUGUUCGGAAUCACUGGGCGUAAAGCGCACGUAGGCGGAUGUGUCAGUCAGGGGUGAAAUCCUGGAGCUCAACUCCAGAACUGCCUUUGAUACUGGCGAGCUUCGAGUCCGGGAGAGGUGAGUGGAACUGCGAGUGUAGAGGUGAAAUUCGUAGAUAUUCGCAAGAACACCAGUGGCGAAGGCGGCUCACUGGCCCGGUACUGACGCUGAGGUGCGAAAGCGUGGGGAGCAAACAGG